rnacentral:rRNA from 1 species
UACGUAGGGGUCGAGCGUUGUCCGGAGUUACUGGGCGUAAAGCGUGCGCAGGCGGCUCUCUGCGCCCGGCGUGAAAGCCCCCGGCUCAACCGGGGAGGGUCGUCGGGGACGGGAGAGCUUGAGGGUAUCAGGGGCUGGUGGAAUUCCCGGUGUAGUGGUGAAAUGCGUAGAGAUCGGGAGGAACACCCGUGGCGAAGGCGGCCAGCUGGGAUACACCUGGACGCUGAGGCACGAAGGCGUGGGGAGCGAACGGG